UUUUUGUUUGCCCCGCUCUCCAAAGAAAGAGGUGGCGUCGGGGACACGACGCGUUCUUAUACCCCCCGCCGCCUAUCGUGCGCGCACUGGCUCGCUUUUCUCCCCCUUCUUCUCCUCCUCUUCCUCUUCUUUUCACGCCCUCCCACGUGUGUCGGGAGAGUGGAGGAGGAAGUGUGUGUGUUUGGAGGAAGAAGGUGCAGAGGGGGAAAUAUCGUCAGGCUAGUGCACAUACGCAGGCGUGUUGGUCACGGCUCUCUCAUGCGUNCGCGAUCG
rnacentral:rRNA from 1 species